AAGACAUAGUGAAGUUCAGGGUGAUGGAGUUUAUACAGAGACUCCUCAUGUCUUGAUGAAUCAGCGAGUGGACAGUGGAAAACACUGGACUCAUUGGCCUUUCUCUAUUUUGCCUCUUUUAUUUUAGGUCCCCAGCCCAAGUGACACAGUCGGUGUGUGGCUCUGGUCACAGCUGCCUGAGAUGUGAAGUCGAGUACUAAAGGGGUCAGUGAGAGAUCUCAAGGGGUGUGGCUCACUAGCAUCUGCCCCCAAGGACAAAGGACAAAAAUGAAGAAUGAAGUUUAUAAUCUGUACUGAAGUAUGUACCAGGUCAGGUGCUGAAGAUGCACACAUGGCUGGAGGCAGGGGAGAAACUGGGACAAGUUUAACACAAAUUGAGUUCAUAUUGUUGUCAUGGUUUUCAUCCUGCCUCAAGGCCAGCUCAUAUAAGGUAGGUUUGAUGUGAAUGUGAUUAGUGAUUGGCUCCAGGACACAGCUUUCAGCCCCUCCUG
rnacentral:lncRNA from 1 species